rnacentral:rRNA from 1 species
CUACGGGGGGCAGCAGUGGGGAAUAUUGGGCAAUGGGCGCAAGCCUGACCCAGCAACGCCGCGUGAGGGAAGAAGGUUUUCGGAUUGUAAACCUCUGUCCUUGGGGACGAAGAAGUGACGGUACCCAAGGAGGAAGCUCCGGCUAACUACGUGCCAGCAGCCGCGGUAAUACGUAGGGAGCAAGCGUUGUCCGGAAUUACUGGGCGUAAAGGGUGCGUAGGCGGCAUAUUAAGUCAGGUGUGAAAUAGUCGGGCUCAACCCGGGGGCUGCAUUUGAAACUGAUAUGCUUGAGUGUGAGAGGGGAAAGUGGAAUUCCUAGUGUAGCGGUGGAAUGCGUAGAUAUUAGGAGGAACACCAGUGGCGAAGGCGACUUUCUGGCUCAUAACUGACGCUGAGGCACGAAAGCGUGGGGAGCAAACAGGAUUAGAUACCCGCGUAGUC